rnacentral:tRNA from 1 species
UUCCCUGUAGCUCAGACGGUAAAGAAUCUGCCUGCAAUGCAGAAGACCUGGGUUAGAUCCCUGGAUUGGAAA